rnacentral:misc_RNA from 1 species
GGCCUCGUGAGCGCUGGUGAUAAAAAUAUAAGUUUGUGCUUGAGAUUAUUUCAUGCACAAAAGACACGGAUAAAAGAUCUAAAGUUACAAAAUCUGUUAUUAGCCUAUUACAGUCUCACAAGGUUUGUAGUCCCCAGGGUAAAAGGUGCUUCCAUUCUUUUCACACCCUGGCUACACAUUCUUUUCUCUUAAUAGGCCUUGGCUUAGCAUCUUUGCAUCAGAUUUAUGGUUUGAUGUUGUCGUAAGUGAAAUAUCUUUACAUCACAUAGCUCAUAUAAGCUUCUGCUGGGAGUGGCAUGUGAAUUCUUAGUUCUGUACUAAUCCAGACACUAAAAAAGCUUCAUAUGUAAGAUUGUUUGGCUGAUUGUAA